CCAAAGGCUUCAUUCGAAGCCACCACUAUCAGCGAUAGACCUAGUCU
rfam:Symbiodinium microadriaticum strain CCMP2467 Smic.scaffold15, whole genome shotgun sequence.